CGAUGUUUGAGCAGAUAGGUGAUGGCACGAUUCGCUCUGCGUGUCGUUCUUUGAAACGCGAUUAUCACUUUGUACAAUUAAUUAAUUCUACAAAUAAUUUAUAAACGCAUCAGUAGUUAUGGAAAUAAUUAUGGAAAUAAAUAUUUUGCGUAAUUUAUUUAUUUGAAGUAAAAAUCAAAGCGAUCGAAAAUGGAAAUUAUAAAUUAUUGUUUCGAUACAACAUAUCUACGCAAACAAUAAUUAUUUUCUUAAAGAUUCUCGUAUAUAUAGUAAGAAAUAGCGACGCGCGUCUUGUUUACAUCCUUGAGAUAUUUUAGUGCGACGUAGUGGGAUACAUCGUAUUAUAAUAAAAAACAUCAAAAAAAGGAAAAAGGCCUAGGAUCGACACAAAGAAGAAAAGAUAUUCAUUAUUCUAUUAACGUUCGUAUGUUAAGCAAGAUGUAUUAUAUGUUAUCAAGUUUUUCUAUCUUUUUGCCUUCGAUAGUGACUCCAUCUUUUCGUAAAAUUCUUUCUUACAAUUUAAUAGAUUUUAUAUCACGAUUAAAACAAUGGAUAAAACAAUGGAGCAAUCUAAAUAAUGGAAAGUAAUUAAUAACGCGUAAUAAUUAAUAACGCGUUUUGAAUAAAUAUUUGAUAUUUAUAUUACACCAUUUCACAAUAUAUUUAAAUAUAAUUUAUAAUUUAUUGAUAGUACUUUUGUAAUAACGUGGAGAGAAAAUUAAUAUUUGAUAUUCGUUUUUUUAAACAUUUCCUUUCGCCUACAAAAUCCUCCUAUGGAUACACCUUGACAUCGGUGGGAGGGCUUAGCACCGUGGAGGGUUUAUCCUGAAGGGGAAGCCAAACGCGGUUUUUAAGACUUAUUAGGCCCGUUAUUAAAUUGCAAAAAAUCGCAACAAAUAAGUCGAUAUCCAGUUUUUCGAAAAUAAAUACUGCGUCGUGUUGUAAUUAAUUUAAAUUUCGGGAGUGCCGUGUAAAGUAAGUAUCGCGCGUCUGUUUUCAUUAUGCUGCGGAUAGUUUGUUUUGUUUUAAUUAAUUCGGGAGUGCCGAUUCGGGAGUCACAUGUCUGUUUUUAAUGUGCCAUGAACAAUUCGCGCGCGAUCGUCAUUGACCAUAUUUUCGCGAAUAAGUGUAGUGCGCGAUUACCAGACGAAUCCUGAACUGAAGGAAUCCUGAGAGGAGGAAGUCUAGGAGGCAACGGCGGAGCAACUUUGGGGUUACACACUGUUUUGUACGUGCAUGAAAAAAUUAUCAUUAUGAUUGAGGUCACGAGUGAAAAUUUCAACACAAUAUAUCCACAUUUGGAGCGUGUAUUGAAAGAUGCAAGUUUCAUAGCGAUUGAUACGGAAUUUACAGGUUUAAAUGUUGACGAUAUUAAAAAUAGUUUAUUCGAUUCUAUAAACGAGCGCUAUGAGAAGCAGAGAUACAAUAUUCAACCGUACAUAAUAAUCCAAUUUGGUAUCACUGCGUUUCAACGAAUUCAGAAUGAAAAUGAAUACACAGCAGAGGCCUUUAAUUUCUUUGUGCUGCCUAAAUCUAUUCCAUCAAAGAAUAGACAACUUAUUUGGCAAAUAGCUGCAUUAGAGUUUCUGACUGCAUAUGAAUUUGAUUUCAACAAACUUGCUUAUAAAGGCAUUUCAUAUCUCAAUGAGAUUGACCAAGCAAUCUUGCAACAACAAUUACAGGAUAAUGUGUUAUUUCAUAAUGUGGAGAGAUCUAUCUCCUACAAAGAAGAAGAUAUUCUCAAAGAUUAUAUCAAUCAAGUAUCCGAAUGGUUGAAUAAAGCAAGUGAUGAAACAAGCUCAUUUAAAAUUCACACUUCUACUCCAAUUUUACAGUAUCUUAUGCAUAAGGAAUUAAGAAAUCGUUUUCCAAAUGUUUGGACCUUCUCAGGGAAUAAUAUGGUGACGGUUAUGAAAAUUUCACCAGAUUCCAGAAAACUUUUGGAACAAGAAGAAGGUUCUAUAUUGGAAAAUGUAUUGCUUGAGUCAUACAUAGGUUUUUCAAAGGUGUUUAAGCUUUUGGUUUCUUUGAAAAAACCUAUAAUAGCACAUAAUGCUUUGUUAGAUUUAAUGUUUAUUCAUCAACAGUUUUAUAAGCCAUUACCACAAAAAUACACUGAUUUCAAGGAUAAUAUACAUCAACUAUUUCCUACAAUUUAUGAUACAAAAUUUUUAAGCUUUGAAUUGAGAGAGCUUCUUUCAACAGAACAAAAAUGGAAAUUUAAUUCUCUAAGUGGUUUAUUCCAAUACUUCACAGAGAAGCAAGGAAAAUACCUAGUACUUGGAACACCUAAUAUUAAUCUCAUUAGUAAAACAAAUUCAGAUAAAUCAGAUGUUACUAUACCUUCAAUGAAAUAUCACACUGCAGGAUGGGAUUCCUAUUGUGCUGGUUAUGUAUUUAUUAGAAUGAUUCAUGCAUUUACUGCAAAACGUUAUGAAUUAGGUUUAACAUUGAGACACUUUACACAUACAGAAUUAAUGAACAAUGUAAAAAGUAUGGCAAACUGUAUAAAUAUCAUCCGUGGCAGUACAUCACAUUUGAAAACGACACAUUAUAAAUUUCCCAGAGGCUUGACGGGCUUGAACCUGUAUCGACUCGACCUAAAUGGCUUUAUGUGAAAACGUUAGCGUCGAAGCCGAUAACCGCCAUUCAGAUAGCUGAAAAAAUGUCAAUUUUCGGUGCGAUUGACGUGAAGCAAUGCACAUCGAAACGUAUGUUAGUUGCAGUAGCAAAUCACGGGAGCGCACGAGACAUAUUGCAACACUUCAAACAAAACAAGGAUUUAUACGUUGUCCCUUAU